rnacentral:rRNA from 1 species
GACGAACGCUGGCGGCGUGCUUAACACAUGCAAGUCGAACGGAAAGGCCCUGCUUUUGUGGGGUGCUCGAGUGGCGAACGGGUGAGUAACACGUGAGUAACCUGCCCUUGACUUUGGGAUAACUUCAGGAAACUGGGGCUAAUACCGGAUAGGAGCUCCUGCUGCAUGGUGGGGGUUGGAAAGUUUCGGCGGUUGGGGAUGGACUCGCGGCUUAUCAGCUUGUUGGUGGGGUAGUGGCUUACCAAGGCUUUGACGGGUAGCCGGCCUGAGAGGGUGACCGGCCACAUUGGGACUGAGAUACGGCCCAGACUCCUACGGGGGGCAGCAGUGGGGAAUAUUGCACAAUGGGCGGAAGCCUGAUGCAGCAACGCCGCGUGCGAGAUGACGGCCUUCGGGUUGUAAACCGCUUUCGCCUGUGACGAAGCGUGAGUGACGGUAAUGGGUAAAGAAGCACCGGCUAACUACGUG